CUAGGUCCUAUCUUGUGGGGUCCUUUUGUGGGUGCUAAUCUUGAGGGUCUAUAAGAGAUUCUUCAAGAAAAGGUUGACGUUCUCAUGGCUGGAGCCUGGAGGUAAACGGAAUCCAAAAAAACAAAACUUGGGGAUAGAAGAAUAUCUUUUUUAGAAAAAUAUAGAGAGCUUCAUACUCUGGUGGAUGGGGUUUCAGGAGGGACAAAUAACUUGUAACCAUAUAUCACAGCCACCUAGCCGAGUUCCCAAAUAAUCUUGACACAAAGUGAGUUACUUUCUUCUCCUCCUCCUUUUCGUUUUUUUUGUUAUUAUUUAUAUGAUAUUUGUCUCACUUUGUUCUUUGUAGUUGUAUAGUAUUGAUCUCCAAAACCAACGUAUGGGUUUUGCGUUUUGAGAAAUGGGGCUGUUGGUUUUCUUUCUGUUUCUUUAUUAGCUUUGCUUUUCUAGUCUUAUUUGUAUUCCUGGCAUCACAAUUCACAGCGCAAAGUUGUUGGAGCUUUGGUUUUGAAGUGUUGUUUUUAUUUGAUGAAAUCAAUGAUUAAAAGAUUGAUCCUUUUGAUUUACACAAGUUUUCUUUUUCAUUUUUUUGAUUGAUUUUGUGACGAAGGUGAAUCACUGAAUCCCCUCUGUUUUCUGUCAGACCUAUGAAUUUCUUUCCUGUUGUCAACUGCCAACUGGUUUGUAAUUCUUAAUGUAUUCUCCAAGUCGUUUCUGAUCAUUUCAUGUUGCCCACCUCUAGAGCUGCUUGAAUACUUGUGCAUAAAAACUGGUGUUUGGUUUCUUUCCUCUGAAAUGCAUUUCUGAUUGCAGUUCCAAAGAAAUUUUUGUUGAGCAAUGUAUUUGCGACAUCGAUUGAUUGGGGUUUUGAAGACGGGCGAUAGAGAUCCUGCCUGGAAGUUCCUCUUUUUGUUUUUCAUAUUUACCCUUCUUCUCUGUUUUGGUUCGUGAUGUUUUUUUUUUUUUUGCCUUAUUUAG
rnacentral:lncRNA from 1 species